AACGAACGCUGGCGGCAGGCCUAACACAUGCAAGUCGAGCGAGGACUUCGGUUCUAGCGGCGGACGGGUGAGUAACGCGUGGGAAUGUGCCCUUCUCUACGGAAUAGCCCUGGGAAACUGGGAGUAAUACCGUAUACGCCCUAUUGGGGAAAGAUUUAUCGGAGAAGGAUCAGCCCGCGUUGGAUUAGGUAGUUGGUGGGGUAAUGGCCUACCAAGCCGACGAUCCAUAGCUGGUUUGAGAGGAUGAUCAGCCACACUGGGACUGAGACACGGCCCAGACCCCUACGGGAGGCGGCGGGGGGGAUUCUUAGAAAAGGGGGGCAACCCUGAUCUCCCCAUGCCGGGGGAGGGAGGAGGCCCUUGGGGUUGAAAAUCUCUUUCAGCUGGGAAGAUAAGGAGGGUCCCAGAAAAAGAACCCCCGGCAAACCCCGUC
rnacentral:rRNA from 1 species